UACGGGGGGGGCAAGCGUUGUUCGGAAUUACUGGGCGUAAAGGGCUCGUAGGCGGCCAACUAAGUCAGACGUGAAAUCCCUCGGCUUAACCGGGGAACUGCGUCUGAUACUGGAUGGCUUGAGUUUGGGAGAGGGAUGCGGAAUUCCAGGUGUAGCGGUGAAAUGCGUAGAUAUCUGGAGGAACACCGGUGGCGAGGGCGGCAUCCUGGACCAACACUGACGCUGAGUGAGCGAAAGCCAGGGGAGCAAACGGG
rnacentral:rRNA from 1 species